rnacentral:piRNA from 1 species
UGCCAACCAUUAACACAGGCACACAGAAA